UUACUCUGACAGGUUGAUUUGACUAUCCGUGCUUUGGAAGAAAGGCUGAGCGGCAAGAGAAACCAAUCAAAGGGCUAUGAGAAGUAGUUCAACAGCUACUUCAUAUUUCCAAGGACACUAUGAGAAAAAACAAGACUUGAAGCCCACAGUGAACUGCUGACACUGGUGAAUUGCAUGGAAUUGCUGAUGCUAGACAUGAAACAAGAUUCCGAGACUGCCCUGGGCUUGUUUACAGCACAGAGAAAAUGGAAGAAGAGAGGAGAAGAGUUGCCUGGAGAUUCCAAAUAGGAUACAAGGCAAUGAGGAAGUUGAUCUGGAGGCUGAGAAGUCCAAGAUCAAGGGACCAGCAGUCCUGUGUUUGAUGAGGAAUCACUUCCUUGUUUACAGAUGGCAGAAAAGGGACUUCCUAGCUCUUCACCUGGUCUUAGAAGAACUAAUCCCAUUUGUGAAGACUCCACCUUCAUUAUUUGAUUACAGCUCAAAGACCUCACCUCCUAAUAUAGAUUGAUGGUUAAGAUUUCAACAUAUGCAUUUGUGGAAAACACAAACAUUCAGUCUGUAACACAUUCUAUUUCACAUUUCACAUCUCCCUCUCCCUUUAUUAUCUGGGAAGAUAAACUAUUACAGCAAAGAGCUCAUGAAUUGAAUCAGGUUGAGAAUGAGACUUGUGGUGGCUUAUUUUUACAGAAAAUUUUAGUUCAAUUCCUCUUUUGAAGACCUUUUCAAAAUAUUAGUCAUAUUCCUCUUUUGGAAGUACACACUCUGACUAUAAUUGAAUCUUUCUUGAUGAUUGAAGACCUUGCCAUGCCUUAGGCUUAUUAUUCAGAACAUGAAUUCAAAUUCAUUCAAUUGCAUAGAUAAAUAUGCAGAAGGUACAAAACGUAGUUGGGACAUGCUGAAUUCAGGAAAUCUAGAAGUUUGUGGUUUUGAGUUGAAAUCCUUGUUAACAAUUUCUGUGUGGUUCAGACUUCUAAAUAGUGCAAACAUUACCUGACUAGAUGAGGCUUUUAGAUCUUGUAUUCUAAUUAAAUAUGUG